rnacentral:rRNA from 1 species
AGAUCUGGAGGAAUACCGGUGGCGAAGGCGGCCCCCUGGACAAAGACUGACGCUCAGGUGCGAAAGCGUGGGGAGCAAACAGGAUUAGAUACCCUGGUAGUCCACGCCGUAAACGAUGUCUACUUGGAGGUUGUGCCCUUGAGGCGUGGCUUCCGGAGCUAACGCGUUAAGUAGACCGCCUGGGGAGUACGGCCGCAAGGUUAAAACUCAAAUGAAUUGACGGGGGCCCGCACAAGCGGUGGAGCAUGUGGUUUAAUUCGAUGCAACGCGAAGAACCUUACCUGGUCUUGACAUCCACAGAAGACUGCAGAGAUGCGGUUGUGCCUUCGGGAACUGUGAGACAGGUGCUGCAUGGCUGUCGUCAGCUCGUGUUGUGAAAUGUUGGGUUAAGUCCCGCAACGAGCGCAACCC